AUUGAACGCUGGCGGCAGGCUUAACACAUGCAAGUCGAGCGCGCGGCGGACGGGUGAGUAAUGUCUGGGAAACUGCCUGAUGGAGGGGGAUAACUACUGGAAACGAUAGCUAAUACCGCAUACCAUCAGAUGUGCCCAGAUGGGAUUAGCUAGUCGGUGGGGUAAUGGGUCACCUAGGCGACGCUCCCUAGCUGGUCUGAGAGGAUGACCAGCCACAAUGGAACGAAGACACGGUCCAGACUCCUACGGAUGGCAGCAGGGGGGAAUAUGGCAAAAUGGGCGCAAGCCUGAUGCAGCCGUGCCCAGGGUGUGAAGAAGGCCUGCGGGUUGGAAAGCACUUUCAGCGAGGAGGCGUUACUCGCAGAAGAAGCACCGGCUAACUCCGUGCCAGAAGCGGCGGUAAUUC
rnacentral:rRNA from 1 species